rnacentral:rRNA from 1 species
AGUGAACGCUGGCGGUAGGCCUAACACAUGCACGUCUAACGGCAGCACAGUCCGAGCUUGCUUUUACGGGUGGCGAGUGGCGGCCGGGUGCGGAAUACCUCAGUCUCUACUUUUUCGUGGGGGAUAACGUAGGGAAACUUAAGCUAAUACAGCAUACGACCUACGGGUGAAAGCAGGGGCUCUUCGGCCCUUGCGCGAUCCAUUGCGCCGAUUUCGGAUUAGUUAGUUGGCGGGGUAAAGGCCCACCAAGGCGACGAUCCGUAGCUGGUCUGUGAGGAUGAUCAGGCACACGAGAACGAGAACACGGUCCAGACUCCUACGGGAGGGAGCAGUGGGGAAUAGUGGACAAUGGGCGCAAACCUUAUCCAGCCAUACCGCAUAGGUGAAGAAGGCCUUCGGGUUGUAAAGCCCUUUUGUUGGGAAAGAAAAGCAGCAGCUUAAUAUCCCGCUGUUCUGACGGUACCCAAAGAAUAAGCACCGGCUAACUUCGUG